rnacentral:rRNA from 1 species
AAUAGAUACCCGGGUAGUCCUGGCAGUAAACGGUGCACGUUUGGUGUGGGCAGGUUCAGACCCUGGUCCGUGCCGGAGCUAACGCGUUAAACGUGCCGCCUGGGAAGUACGGUCGCAAGAUUAAAACUCAAAGAAAUUGACGGGGGCCCGCACAAGCGGUGGAGUAUGUGGUUUAAUUCGAAGCAACGCGAAGAACCUUACCAGGUCUUGACAUCCCACUGACCGCUAUGGAGACAUAGUUUUCCCUUCGGGGACAGUGGUGACAGGUGGUGCAUGGUUGUCGUCAGCUCGUGUCGUGAGAUGUUGGGUUAAGUCCCGCAACGAGCGCAACCCUUGAUCUUAGUUGCCAUCAUUUAGUUGGGCACUCUAAGGUGACUGCCGGUGACAAACCGGAGGAAGGUGGGGAUGACGUCAAAUCAUCAUGCCCCUUAUGACCUGGGCUACACACGUGCUACAAUGGACGGUACAAACGGUUGCCAACCCGCGAGGGGGAGCUAAUCCGAUAAAACCGUUCUCAGUUCGGAUUGUAGGCUGCAACUCGCCUACAUGAAGCCGGAA